CGUGACUGGAGUGUUUAGUGCUGUCAUCACUGCUCUUGAUUGUUUGACCCUGGGAGAAAGUUCUGCCACAGGGGGAAAUAUGUGGCAGAAACAGAGGGGCUGGAACAGAGAGAAUAGGCGAGGGAUACCUUGAGCGUGAGAGCCGCAGCUCAGGCUUUGACUAUUCAGCUACCAGACGACAUUGUGGCUGAGAGACUGGAGGCUCAGUAGGCCAGAGGAAGAUGCUGACCCCAUGGGGGCUGUUCCUCUGCCAGCUGGCAAUAAACAUGUCCUACCAUGUCAUAAAAGCCAGCCUCUGCCUGGGUGGGUCGGACAUCUUUGCGAAGGUGAGUGAGAACAGCCCCGUAGGAGAGUUCAUUGCGAACCUCAGCAUCGUCG